UGGCCUGUAGCUCAGUUGGACAGAGCGCCCGGCUACGAACCGGGAGGUGGCGGGUUCAAGUCCUGCCAGGCCAA
rnacentral:tRNA from 1 species